rnacentral:rRNA from 1 species
GACGAACGCUGGCGGCGUGCUUAACACAUGCAAGUCGAACGGAAAGGCCCUGCUUUUGUGGGGUGCUCGAGUGGCGAACGGGUGAGUUACACGUGAGUAACCUGCCCUUGACUUUGGGAUAACUUCAGGAAACUGGGGCUAAUACCGGAUAUGAGCUCCUGCUGCAUGGUGGGGGUUGGAAAGUUUCGGCGGUUGGCGAUUGACUCGCGGCUCAUCAGCUUGUUGGUUGGGUAGUGGCUUACCAAGGCUUUGACGGGUAGCGGACCUGCGCGGGUAGGAGGCCCCAUGAGGAUUGGGAUACGGCCCAGACCACUACGGGAGGGGGGGGAGGAGAAUGGUGAAAAGUAAGCGGGAGGAUGAUACAACAACGCAGCGUGGGGUAUGACGGGCUGGGGGUAGGAAAACGAAUUCGCCUGUGACGAGAUGAGAGUGACGGUAAUGGGUGAAGAAGCACCGGCUAACUACGUG